CUGGUCGCGAGCACAUGGAAUGAGGUCGAGAUUUGUGUCUGUGAGACGCGCGACUGAUCAUCAAGGAGGGGGAAAAAGGAAUAUAAAAACAACGAAGCCGCGACCAAAACCAGCCCGAAGAAGUCGGGCAGGUGGUGCUGCAGCAGACCCUCACACAUCCCCGAGUCCUGCUGCAGCAGCUGUUGCACUCAUGGAUGACUGAAGAUACUGAUCUGAAUGGGAAGGAUGCAAAGGUGGAAGCAGUCAGAGCUGGAUUCGGUUUCACUGUGUCUUGAGGGAGCACACACACACACACACACACACUCAAACAGACACACACAUGGUUUUUAAAUACUAUCUACUUCCCCCUUUCUUUGAGAGGACACAGAUACACCCUGAAUGGGCCCCUGUGGUCCUGACACUGUGGUUGGGAAGUACCUAGUGUUACAACUGUCAUGCUGGUGUACUUAAAGGGACAGUGCUGAUCACUUUCAUUUGCACUAAGCUCUGUGUUCACUGCUUUUCAGUCACAUUAACAGGGGUCAUUUCUGUGGAUGUUUGAGUUGUUGCCUUAAUAGUGUGUGAGCAGUUUGUCUGUGCACUUUCUCAACAGUCAGGACACUGAAUGUACUGGAAUUUGUUUUGCAAUAGUUUCUAAAAGCGCAUAUAUAUGUUUAUUUGCAUACUCAAUGUGUAUUUUCUGGCACUUUACACUGUUGAAUGUUUUUCAAAAGCUGCACUCUUGUCCGAAUAAAUUUUUCACUCUGG